rnacentral:rRNA from 1 species
AUGAUGCCGUUUAGACUUUAUAUAGUCACAAGAUUACCUGGCUUCUCGCGCUUUCCUUGUUGUGGGUGGAGGCCGGGUCGUUGGAGGUGUAGAUGGAGAACCAGCCACGGUGCACCAUGGCAUCGGCGUCGCCAAGGAUGCCCUUGGGAUGCACCAUGGAGAACUCGAGGUCGUCGACCCACUCCAGCGCCUGGAUCGUGCCGCGCCACGCGACGACCACGUCCCGGCGCCCGAGCACCGCCUUCCCCGCAUCCGUGGUCACCGCGACGUACCCGAUCCAGUUGGACUCCUUGCACCGGUGCCGCGGAUGGCGGCUCCUCACGAACGCGGCGGCCGGAGCGGCGGGGGCGGAGGACGUGGCGUACAGGAACCUGGUGA